rnacentral:rRNA from 1 species
UUCGCAAUGCCCGAAAGGAUGACGGAGCGACGCCGCGUGGGGGAUGAAGGCCUUCGGGUCGUAAACCUCUGUCACGGAGCACGAAAGGACCAACCCAUAACACGGGAGGGUCUCUGACGCUAUUCCGAGAGGAAGCCACGGCUAAAUUCGUGCCAGCAGCCGCGGUAACACGGAUGUGGCGAGUGUUGUUCGGAUUUACUGGGCUUAAAGGGCGCGUAGGCGGUCUGGUCAAUCGGUGGUGAAAUCCUGCCGCUCAACGGUAGAACGGCUGCCGAUAUUGCCGGGCUUGAGGCUGAUAGGGGAGAGCGGAACUCUUGGUGGAGCGGUGAAAUGCGUAGAUAUCAAGGGGAACGCCGGUGGCGAAAGCGGCUCUCUGGAUCUGUCCUGACGCUGAGGCGCGAAAGCCAGGGGAGCAAAGAGGAUUAGAUACCCUUGUAGUCCUGGCCGUAAACGAUGGGCACUAAGUAGAGGGGUUUU